AGUGCCUACUAGAGAUUACACUGAAAAGACUGUUCUGAUUCAGUCAUCAUCAUCAAGAGACUGAAAAUUGCCAUUUAUAGACUCCAGCUGCAAAGUUCUGAUAGAGACAGCAGUAAAUGUGACAGAAAGGGAAUGAGCUCACUUCUCAUUUUGGACAACAGAGUUAUCUCAUGUGCCCCAACUAGGACAGGUGGUCCCUCAGCACAUUCCCACACAUUCCAAAUAUUUUAAGUGUUCCACAUCUGUUGUCUAAAACAUUUUUAUCUCCCUGCAAGAACAGUAGGAGAUGAAAACAAAAAGGUCUUCCAGGAAAAUGUUAAACAGCAUUGGCCCCAGUAGUGACCACCGAUGGAGACCACGAGCUGCCAGGUGGAAUCUGAAUGACUGACGGCUACUCUCUGAGCUCAGAGGUCCUGCUGAUUUUCCACUACCUUGUAGGUCGGUCAUCCUUCUAGUCUACGUCUCUCUAAUUUUACUGCAAGGACACUACAGCAGACUAUGUCAAAGACUUGCUAAAUGCAAGAUCAAAGCACAUCAGCUGCUCUGCCCACCUCCACCAGGCCAGUCAUCUCAUCAUACAAGACAAUCAGACUGGUGAAGCAUGAUUUGCCCUUGGUAAAUCCAGGCUGGCUGUUUCCAGUCACCUUCUUACCUCCACGUGCCUAGAAACCUUAGAUGAGAUUACUUGUCCUUGUAUUAAUUCUGAAAGAAUUCUGUGGGUUUGGUGUCUUAACACAGAAUGAAAGACAAAACCCACCUAUACUCCAGCUAAACUUAAACAUCUGUUUAAAAUACUGAUAGGUUUGAUAGAUGCUUAACUAAAUAAUGUCAAUUCCCUACUAUUCAAGCACAAAUUGGCAACACUUGCAAGUAAAACAGCAAGCUGCAAACACAGGUGUUUUUUUAAAGAAGAA